CAAAUAACCAGACAAAGAUAUUUGACUGACCGGCUAGAUUCGGUCCUGUGUAGCAACAUUUGAAAUUGUGUUUUUUACAUUGACUAAAAGUACAGACUCGGAGCUAGAAAGUGGUAUAUCAUACACUGCAGUUGAGGAACAAUGGGAAAGUAAUUCUGCUUUGAAAGUGGAUUAACUUGUAACCACACUUUUGAGAAAAUGGCCUUUGGAUAUUUUGUUACACCUACUGGAGAGCUCUUCUUUGUCUACACCGUUUCAGCAUCAUUCACACUGUCUUAAGCCUAGACUUUGGUGCAGAUCAUGUUGUUCUUCAUAUUAUCUUCUCUGGUAAACACACUCAAAUAUCAAAUAAGUUUAUUUGUCACAUGCUCAGGAUACAGAAGGUGUAGACAGUACAGUGAAAUGGUUACUUGCAUAUUUGCAUAGUAGCAAUAUCAAAAGAGAAAGUGUUCAGGUAAAUAUUGUAUAAUUAUUAGAUGAUUAUUACCCAGACACAUUAGUCUAAAUUGAUGGGUCAUGUGAAAGAAAAACUAUACCUUUUAUGGCUGCAGGGGCAGUUUUGAGUAGCUUGGAUGAAAAGGUGCCCAUUGUAAAUGGCCAGCGCCUCAGUCUCAGUUGCUAAUAUAUGUAUAUUAUUAUUAGUAUUGGAUAGAAAACACUCUGAAGUUUCUAAAACUGUUUGAAUUAUGUCUGUGAGUAUAACAGAACUCAUACUGCAGGCAAAAACCUGAGAAAUUCCACUUCCUGUUUGUAUUUUUUCUGGGGGUGGCAGAUUUUCAACCAAGCUCUCAUUGAAAUUACAGGGAGAUAUGGGUGAGUUUUCACUUCCUACGCUUUCCACUAGAUGGCAACAGUCAAUAGAACUUUGUCUGAUGACUCUAAUGUGAAGGGGGGUCGAAUGAGACAGGAAAUAGUCACCACUGCCACCAGUUGACCAUGCUUUCACCAUGCGUGUUCACAGGGGAAGGACCUGCGUUCCACCGGUCAUCUGAAGUCAUUCUAAUUCUCCGGUUGGAAUGUCAUUCAAGAUAUAUGUAAACAACAUUCUAAAGAUUGAUUCAGUACAUCGUUUGACAUGUUUCUACUGACUGUUACGGAACUUUUGGACAUUUUGUUACGUUAUAGUGGACGCGCUUUGUGACUUUGGAUUUUUUUAUCAAAAUAGCUAAUUGGACAUAAAUAACGGACAGUUUCAAACAAAUCAAGCAUUUAUUGUGCACCUGGGAUUCCUAGGACUGCAUUCUGAUAAAGUUCAUCAAAGGUAAGGAAACAUUUAUCAUGUAUUUUCUGGUUUCUGUUGACUCCAAUAUGGCGGCUAAUUUGGCUACUGUUCUGAGCUCUGUCUCAGAUUAUUGCAUGGGUUGCUUUUACCGUAAACUUUUUUUUAAAUCUGACACAGCGGUUGCAUUAAGGAGAGGUAUAUCUAUAAUUCCAUGUGUAUAACUUAUAUUAUCAUCUACAUGUAGGAUGAGUAUUUCUGUUGAAACGACUUGAUGUUUUUGGAACUAGUGAAUCUAAUACGCCAAUGUAAACUCAAAUUUUUUAGGUAAAUAUGAACUUUAUCAAACAAAACAUGCAUGUAUUGUGUAACAUGAAGUCCGAUGGGUGUCAUCUGAUGAAGAUAAUUCAAGGUUAAUGAUUAAUUUUAUCUCUAUUUCUGCUUUUUGUGAAUGCUAUGUUUCGCUGGAAAAUGGCUGUGCUUAUUGUGGUUUGGUGGAGACCUAACAUAAUCGUUUGUAGUGCUUUUGCUGAAAAGCAUAUUUGAAAUCGGACACUUUGGUGGGAUUAACAACAAGAUUACCUUUCAAAUGAUACCAGACACAUGUAUGUUUUAGGAAUUGUAAUUAUGAGAUUUCUGUGGUUUGAAUUUGGCACCCUCUAUUUUCACUGGUAGUUGUCAUAUCGAUCCCGUUAGUGGGAAUGCAGCCAUAACAAGAUAACCACCCCCAGACACAUCUGGCUAACUUGACAGGUAAUGUAAUCAUUUGGUGAAGUGCAGUCUUUUGUUUAAACACGUAGCUAGCUAAACAAUUAACCUAACGGUGCAUUCAAAACAACUGGAAAUAUGGAAAAACACCAUAGAAAAUACCCAACCGAUGUUCAUAGCUAGCCACCAUGCCUGAAUCAGGUAGCUAAAGCUAACCAAAUAGGUUCAAUGUUAGCUUGCUAGCUAACAUUACGCUAUAACUAGCAAUACAAAUGGCUUUCUGAGUUACAAAUAAUAUUACUAAACAGAUCAUACACGUCACGUUAGCUAGCGACCCAGUCAGCUAACAGUACGCUUUAACUUGCAAUGAAAACAACUUUCUGACUAAAUUAGAAAUGUAUAAUAUCUGAAAAUGUAGCUAGCUAGACUCUUAUCCGAAUACAUGGAUGAACGCUUCUCCCUCUCUGUCACAGAUGCCAUGGUUGCCAUUAGUUUGAAGAUGUAAUCUGGAAACAGAUGUUUUAUACAAUAACCUUCUGUGUUCUCUUUUCAACUCCCUCUGCCAAUUUGCAAUCAAACGCCAGAAUUUUCUCCAUCUCCUUAGCUAUUGUGAUGGAAAAUGUUAUGUUUGUGCUUUUCUAAUAACCAUUUCUGUGUUCAAUGUUUGUGCUGUUCUGCUGUUCUAAUAACCAAUUUCUGUGUUCAUGCAAGUAACUGAUUGAAUGUGCCUGGGAGGAAUCCUCACUAUCAGUAUCGGCAAUUUGGCAGUAUGCCCAGAACCUUGUUUGGAGAACGAAAGGGAUAUCUCAGUUUCAAGGUCUCAGCUUGGAGACAAGAAGCCUUGUGAGGUGUUGGUCAUUUACAUGCAUGAACCAAACGUUAAUGAUUAAUUAAUUAUGAAUGAUGAAUAAACUAAAUCAUGCAAAUAUAACUUGUCUGUGUAAGCAGUAUAUAAGAGAACUAACAGGACUGCCCCGGAGGAGCUCACUUCAGAAUGGUACUUUAUGCAUCCAAGUUUGACUGUGACCUCUCCAGUUUGCUGUUAAUAAAGAUAGAUUCAUUUAAGAUUGACUCCAAGUGUCCCUUGUGGUAAUUUCCACGACACUAUCAUACUCCGCUUCCACUGAUUUCAACUUCUUCCAUGACAACAACACUGUUGAUCACUGUUUCUUCUCCAUCACUGUCAUCAGAAGACGCUACAAUGUCUGGUUCAAUGAAAAUGUUUUUACCUAAAUCAGGAGUUUCCUCAUCGUCUGAUUCAUUUUCAGAUUCAGAGAGUCAGCAUGGCACGAUCGUCCUCCAGAAUGUGGAGAGCAGUAGCAACACUUUUUCAGUUCAUGAUAUUUUUCAAAAAAGCUGCAGUAGAAAGGAUUAUCUACACAUACUACAUUAUCUACACUACAUGGCAGACCAAUCUGAACUCAUCUCUCAACGUGUUCACCCCAUCCAUUGUCUCUUCCAAUCAUGGUUAGCAGGAGGAUUCCUGUCUUUUUCCAUGGCUAAACCAACUAGGCUUGUAUUUUAACAAUUGUAUUUGUAUUUACAAAUGGUCAACAAGUUUGUUAUUACGGUACAAGAAAGUUCACAUGUUCCAGAAGGCAUUUCGGCCCAAAAAACGCAUUUUGAAUUUUAAAAAUCAUGUUUACAUUCAAAUGCCCUUCCUGGGAAGUAGUGACAUGCGACAUACAGUACAUCUAGUUUCCUGAAAUGAGUCAUAUUUGCAGAAUAUUUUCUAGAUGUAAAUGUUCUCCCAGGUGACGAUCACAAGAGGAAAUAUCCCUAGAGGAUGUUGUAGAUGGCCCCUGCUGGACACUGCCGAUAUUUCUUAAUCUCCUCAAUACGCUGUAUAGUGUCAGUGUCCAAAGGAUCCUCAGCUGUCUUCCUCGUCCAGACACUGGAGCUGGGUCGGGGAGUUGGAGUGGAGGUUGAUGAAGUGCCAGGGCAGAGAGCGAGGGUGCAUCUGGGCGGAGCGUUGGCCACUGGUGAGAGGGGCCGGGGACGCGAUGAACCAGGCCGGGGACGCGAUGAACCAGGCCGGGGACGCGAUGAACCAUUCCGGGGACGCGAUGAACCAGGCCGGGGACGCGAUGAACCAGGCUGGGGACGCGAUGAACCAGGCCGGGGACGCGAUGAACCAGGCCGGGGACGCGAUGAACCAGGCCGGGGCUCAGUUCUGUCUCUGUUUUCAGAUGUUUGAACUAGCCCUUUUUAUUUAACCUUUAUUUAACUAGGCAGGUCAUUAAGAUAACAACACAGGCACAGGAUAUUUCCCACUUACAAUUUUUCCCAUUUGGAAAUGAGCUGAUUUCACAAGUUCUAAUUAGGUCUGCUGAGAUAAGAUCAUGAACACACACAGAUACUGUACAAAAGGAUUCAGCUACAUGACAAGAGUACCUACACUGAGUAUACCAAACAUUAGAAAUAACUUCCUAAGUUAUUUCCCCCCCCCUGUUGCCCUCAGAACGGCCUCAAUUCGUCGGGGCUUGGAAUCUACAAAGUAUUGAAAGUGUUCCACAGAGAUGCUGGCCCAUGUUGACUCCGAUGCUUCCCACAGUUGUAUCAAGUUGGCUGGAAGUCCUUUGGGUGGUGGACCCUUCUUGAUACACACAGGAAACUGUUGAGUGUGAAAAACCCAGCAGCGUUGCAGUUCUUGACACAAACCAGUGCGCCUGGCACCUACUACCAUACCCUGUUCAAAGGCACUUCAAUAUUUUGUCUUGCCCAUUCACCCUCUGAGUGGCACACAUACACAAUCCAUGUCUCAAUUAAUCCAAAGGCUUAAAAAUCGUUCUUUAACCUGUCUCCUCUCCAUCAUCUACACUGGAUUUAACAAGUGAUAUCAAUAGGGGAUUAUAGCUUUCACCUGGAUUCACCUGGUCAGUCUAUGUCAUGGAAAGAGCAGAGGUUCUUAAUGUUUUGUAUUCUCAGUGUACAGCGUAUCUGCCUGAUGAUGUUUCACGUAAACACAAAGCCAACCUGGUUGUCAGAGCAUCGGCAGCAGCCGCACACCAUUUCGUUGACCUUUUUCGAACAUACCGUUCCUGAAUCGUUCUCCAUUUUUCUUUGAUAUCAGCAUCGGUGUUCGAAUUUUGGCGAUAUCUCCCUCCAGCUGUAAUCUUUUGUGUCUUCUCCGAUUACAACUGCAUCGAAGGAUUGUAGAGGUCACACCUCCUUGCACAGACGCUCCUCAAAACUGGACAGACAUAAUUGCGCAUAGCAAAAGUUGAAUUAAAAACACACAAAAAAAGAUGCUUGAAGGUAGAACAGCAAGAGCAGGGAUGUAGCAGCACGUCCAUCUCUUCUGU
ensembl:lncRNA